rnacentral:rRNA from 1 species
UACAGAGGUCUCAAGCGUUUGUUCGGAUUCAUUGGGCGUAAAGGGUGCGUAGGUGGCGCUGUAAGUCGGGUGUGAAAUUUCGGAGCCUAACUCCGAAACUGCAUUCGAUACUGCGGUGCUUGAGGACUGGAGAGGAGACUGGAAUUCAUGGUGUAGCAGUGAAAUGCGUAGAGAUCAUGAGGAAGACCAGUGGCGAAGGCGGCCUGCUGGGCAGUUGCUGACACUGAGGCGCGACAGCGUGGGGAGCAAACAGG